GAUACCAUCUUGACAGCCCAAUAGGGGUCCACCCUAAUCCUCUCUUUUUGCCGUCUCAUCGACUUUUAGGCUCAUCUCCUCUUUUCGUUCUAUCACAACGUCUGAUCUUUACUUCCAUCACCGAAACGGUUCCUGUUACGAAUUAUCCGUGUUAAAUAGCCUUGAAUGCGCGUAUUUCAGCUAGGCGGUGUAUCAGCAAGUAUAAAAAGAUAAACAUUCUUCCUCUCGAAAAACCAUCUUAUCACGAAAUAAACUUUUUCUGAGAGCAAAGUUUUUCAUUUGGGUUGAUAUGAUCUUGGUGAAUUUUUAAUCAAACUUUUUUUGUUUGUUUGUUGAUUUCGUUUCUAUUUGUCCAUGUUUGCAGGCACCUUCAUAGUCGCCAUUUUCCUUCUUCGCAUUCACCGUCAAUCAUCACCGCUCCUCUGACCGAUUAGUUCUCUUCUUCUCUUAGUGGAGGAAAAUAUGAUCUAUUCUUCAUAUAUAGUGAGAUUCUGUUUCGAUCAGUUUGCAUUUUAAGCUAGAUUGAGAAAUUCGAGUUGAUGUUUAAGAUGAGCAGUUGGGGUUUCUUCACUGUGAAAUGGGGAUACGUAGGUGGUGGAGAUGGCAACAAUGGUGUUAGAACGACCAGUUCGUUGCAGGCUUAUAUUUCUCAAGCACAGAAGAGACAUCAACCCUAGCAUUUUCACAAUACGGCCAAGUGCUUGGAGCUCAAUCUCUUAAAUCUCAAUAUGGCCAAGUGCUUGGAGGCCAAAAGGGUUUGCUUAUGUCACAUUCUCUUCUAAAAAAGAACCUGCCAAAGGUUUAUUAGAACUAAACGGACAGGUAUCAAAUCUCUUUUUUUUUCUAAGCCUAGCAAGCUUUGUUCGUAAGUUCAGUAUCGUCUAAAUCCUUUCACACAAUAAUGUUCUUUUGAAUAUAUAGCUUUCUAAUGUUAGGUGGGGAAUGUAUGAUGAAUAAUUGUGAAUUUCCUGGUGUAGUACUGCAUCAUCAACUCUCCGAGCUGUUUAUGUUGCGUCAUCUUGAUGAGUUUUGUUAUUUUGAUAACAGUAGACAGGCGGAUUGUGAUCCUUGACACAACAAAAGCUGUAAAACAGAAUCGACCCUUCUUGCAUAUUAAAGACACCAACAAAAUCCUCCCUUGAUCUGUGGUCGCUGUUCUUGGUUUAGGAUCCUUCGGGAGGGGUGUAGUGGUCAUUGGUCAAGAAUAUGCGUGCUCUCAAAAGAAACAGAGGAAGCUGAAGAGUAGUCCGUAUUCUGCUCCAAACACAGACUUGGCUCUCAUGGCUUGCUCUCUCCUGAUCCUUCCAGUUGAGGUCUUGCUCUCUCCUGAUCCUUCGAUUUGAGGUUCUAAAUGGUGAGCUUUUUGCUUACCGUAGUUCUUGUGUGUUUUCUAUUUGUAGAAAUUAGCUUAGAAAGUCUAAAAGAUUCUUGGCUUGAUGAUAGUAGUAACAUGUGACAGCAAAUCAUUAUGAAAAGUUGUCAACCUUUUCUCUGUUGUUUGAUCUUGAGUACAAUUGUACAAGAAUCUAGGGUGUGUAUCGUUUAAAUAACUAUGUUUGUGGGAAAGAGUUUUAAGCUUCAGACGGGAAAAAGGUUAUUUAUGUUGGCCAAUUA